AGAGUUUGAUCCUGGCUCAGGAUGAACGCUAGCUACAGGCUUAACACAUGCAAGUCGAGGGGCAUCAUGGGAGGACUUCGGUCCUUUUGAUGGCGACCGGCGAAUGGGUGAGUAACACGUAUCCGACCUGCCCUGUACUGGAGGAUAGCCUCCCGAAAGGGAAAUUAAUACUCCAUGUGUCAAAUGUCCGCAUGGUCGUUUGAUGAAAGAUUUAUCGGUACAGGAUGGGGAUGCGUUCCAUUAGCCAGCCGGCGGGGUAACGGCCCACCGGGGCGACGAUGGAUAGGGGUUCUGAGAGGAAGGUCCCCCACACUGGAACUGAGACACGGUCCAGACUCCUACGGGAGGCAGCAGUGAGGAAUAUUGGUCAAUGGCCGCAAGGCUGAACCAGCCAAGUAGCGUGCGGGACGACGGCCCUAUGGGUUGUAAACCGCUUUUAUACGGGGGUAAAACGCGCCACGUGUGGUGUCUUGCAAGUACCGUAAGAAAAAGGACCGGCUAAUUCCGUGCCAGCAGCCGCGGUAAUACGGAGGAUCCGAGCGUUAUCCGGAUUUAUUGGGUUUAAAGGGAGCGUAGGCGGGACGUUAAGUCAGUUGUGAAAUGUGGCGGCUCAACCGCCGAACUGCGUCGCGAACUGCCGUUCUUGAGUGCAGACGAGGUGGGCGGAAUUCGUGGUGUAGCGGUGAAAUGCUUAGAUAUCACGAAGAACUCCGAUUGCGAAGGCAGCCCACCAGGGUGUAACUGACGCUAAAGCUCGAAAGUGCGGGUAUCGAACAGGAUUAGAUACCCUGGUAGUCCGCACGGUAAACGAUGGAUGCCCGCUGUUUUGCGAUACAAUGUAAGCGGCCAAGCGAAAGCGUUAAGCAUCCCACCUGGGGAGUACGCCGGCAACGGUGAAACUCAAAGGAAUUGACGGGGGCCCGCACAAGCGGAGGAACAUGUGGUUUAAUUCGACGAUACGCGAGGAACCUUACCCGGGCUUGAAAGUUAGUGAAUGACCCCGAAAAGGGUCAGGCUCGCAAGAGACACGAAACUAGGUGCUGCAUGGUUGUCGUCAGCUCGUGCCGUGAGGUGUCGGCUUAAGUGCCAUAACGAGCGCAACCCCUGUCGUCAGUUGCCAUCAGGUAAAGCUGGGAACUCUGGCGAGACUGCUACUGUAAGGUAGAGGAGGGUGGGGAUGACGUCAAAUCAGCACGGCCCUUACGUCCGGGGCGACACACGUGUUACAAUGGUCGGUACAGAGGGCUGCUACCAGGCGACUGGAUGCUAAUCUCCUAAAACCGGCCUCAGUUCGGAUUGGAGUCUGCAACUCGACUCCAUGAAGCUGGAUUCGCUAGUAAUCGCGCAUCAGCCAUGGCGCGGUGAAUACGUUCCCGGGCCUUGCACACACAGGCCGUCA
rnacentral:rRNA from 1 species